rnacentral:rRNA from 1 species
CGCCGCGUGAGGGAUGAAGGCCUUCGGGUUGUAAACCUCUUUUAUCAGGGAAGAUAAUGACGGUACCUGAUGAAUAAGUCACGGCUAACUACGUGC